ensembl:lincRNA
GGGCACCGGGGCGGGCACCGGGGCGGGCGGCCCCGGAGUCAGAUGGUCCGAUGCUGCCCUACCCGGCUCUGCCCUGCAAUGCGCUGUCGGACCUCGGUUUCUGAGAUAACUAGGUCCGCGCAGGUCCUUUCCUUCAGGGUUCUGGCGCACACCCGGAGCGCAAACCCUCCUGAGUGUUCAGAAGACCUGGGAUCGCUAGGGCUGGCUACUAGUGGCAGGUGCUCUGCAGGUUCACAGCUCAGUCCAGGGCUCCCUUAGCCAAGACCCCACGGGCUAAAACCACAGGGUAGUGAGCAGGCCUGAAAAGGCACUGUGUGUGUGUGAGACCUUAGGUCCCCAGCCCAGGCAUCAGGAUUGCCCACAUUGGUGGUGUUUCUCAUCUCAUCAAAUGAACCCAAGCUAGGUGCUCCUUCAUAGUCAUACUCUGAACUUUGUCUCUUCAGUGAUUCUAGGACCUGUCCAGUUGGCAAUGUUAAACAUCACCGUUUCUAUCUGAACUGGUACACUUGGCCAUAUGUAGUUGUCUUGAACUGGAUCUACUUCAGGGGUAGAUGGUUUGUAAAGAUCCCCCUUCCCCCCACAAAAGUGGGCUUUUCAAAAAUGGGGUCUAGGUCUAUAGGCCUCAGUAGGAUAUCCAGCCAUUGAACCCAUGCCAAGCCCCACACCGGAACCCCGAGGCUAAGACAGCCCAGCAGUUUACAUUUUCCCAGCCCUCUACUGGUCGAUCUGAAGCAGGAUCUAGGUGGAUCUACACCCAGGCUUAGGACAGGAUCAUCUCAAGUGGCCUCUGGCACUUUCAGUGAGAGAUGGUUAACCAAGGAAGAAUCUAAGCUGACACAUUGGUACCUGUCAAGGUUAAAAGUGUCCCCAGUGAGAGGCUUUGUUUGCCAUGGCCCAUCGAGCCUGCAACCCUUGGGCAGGACUCAAGAGUCAGUCUACCACCAACUGGCUCCUGCCCUCAUUAUAUAAGGUGCAUCUCUGAAUGUUUCAACCCCAUGAGCAUGGCACUAGCUGACCACAAAACUGCCAAGAGUCUUCAGCAAAACAAAAACAACAAACCACUCUGGUGGUGUGGUGGGGAUCCAUCUAUAAUGCCAGCACCUGGGGUAGAGACAGAAGAAUCAGGAGUUGGCCAUCCUCAGCUACAUGGUGACCGCAAGGCUAGCCUGGACUAUAUGAAACCCUGUCUCAAAGAACAAAGAGUAAAAAUAGCAUCCUGGGUAUAGUCCCUGAGUGCUGUGUGUGCCACAAAAGCUGUCAAAGCUGCAGCAGACCCUACUUCCUGCCCAGCCUACAGCAGCAAUCAAACGUUCCAUGGGAGCUGAACAAAAUGGCUGCUCUGGUCAGAAUGGCUCAGCCUGCGACCGACCGGCCCUGGAGCUGCAGGAGCUGCCGUCCGUCCACAGCGGUGCGCUGCUUUUACCACAUUAGUGGGAGCUGUCCCACAGGAACCGUGCACAGUGGCGGGACCUCCUCUCCAGCCUCCCUCUCUCCACAGCAGUCCUACCCUAACCCAUGGGCCUGAUGAAGAAAAAGGGAGUGAAAAAAAAAAGCCACCGGUCCCUGAGCUUCCUGCUCAUGAAUCCUUGAGAUUCCCAUAAAACCCCACCAACCCCUGUGAUGGUUUGUAUAUGCUUGGUCUAUGGAGUGGCACUAUUAGAAGGUGUGGCCCUGUUGGAAUAGGUGUGACCUUGUUGGAAUAGGUGUGUCACUAUGGGUGUGGGUUUUAAGACUCUCAUUUUAGCUGCCAGGAAGUCUGUCUUCCACUAGCAGCCUUCAGAUGAAGAGGUAGAACUCUCAGCUCCUCCUGCACCGUGCCUGCCUAGAUGCUGCCAUGUCCCGCCUUGAUGACAGUGGACUGAAACUCUGAACCUGAAAGCCAGCCCCAAUUAAAUGUUGUCCUU